rnacentral:rRNA from 1 species
GAGAAUGCCGGUGUGAGUAGCGAAAGACGGGUGAGAAUCCCGUCCACCGAUUGACUAAGGUUUCCAGAGGAAGGCUCGUCCGCUCUGGGUUAGUCGGGUCCUAAGCUGAGGCCGACAGGCGUAGGCGAUGGAUAACAGGUUGAUAUUCCUGUACCACCUAUAAUCGUUUUAAUCGAUGGGGGGACGCAGUAGGAUAGGCGAAGCGUGCGAUUGGAUUGCACGUCUAAGCAGUAAGGCUGAGUAUUAGGCAAAUCCGGUACUCGUUAAGGCUGAGCUGUGAUGGGGAGAAGACAUUGUGUCUUCGAGUCGUUGAUUUCACACUGCCGAGAAAAGCCUCUAGAUAGAAAAUAGGUGCCCGUACCGCAAACCGACACAGGUAGUCAAGAUGAGAAUUCUAAGGUGAGCGAGCGAACUCUCGUUAAGGAACUCGGCAAAAUGACCCCGU